rnacentral:rRNA from 1 species
UACAGGGGGGGCAAGCGUUGUUCGGAAUUACUGGGCGUAAAGGGUUUGUAGGUGGCCACUUAAGUCAGACGUGAAAUCCCUCAGCUUAACUGGGGAACUGCGUCUGAUACUGAAUGGCUUGAGUGCAGGAGAGGAACGCGGAAUUCCAGGUGUAGCGGUGAAAUGCGUAGAUAUCUGGAGGAACACCGGUGGCGAAGGCGGCGUUCUGGACUGUAACUGACACUGAAAAACGAAAGCCAGGGGAGCAAACGGG